rnacentral:rRNA from 1 species
CUACGGGACGCUGCAGUGGGGAAUAUUGGACAAUGGGGGAAACCCUGAUCCAGCAAUGCCGCGUGUGUGAAGAAGGCCUGCGGGUUGUAAAGCACUUUCGGUUGGGAGGACUGCUUCUAGCACUAAUAUUGUUGGAAGUUGACGUUACCUUCAGAAGAAGCACCGGGUAACUCCGUGCCAGGCAGCCGCGGUAAUACGGAGGGUGCAAGCGUUAAUCGGAAUUACUGGGCGUAAAGCGCGCGUAGGCGGCUAGAUCAGUCGGGUGUGAAAGCCCCGGGCUUAACCUGGGAACUGCAUCCGAUACUGUCUAGCUUGAGUACAGGAGAGGAGAGUGGAAUUCCACAUGUAGCGGUGAAAUGCGUAGAUAUGUGGAGGAACACCAAUGGCGAAGGCAGCUCUCUGGCCUGAUACUGACGCUGAGGUGCGAAAGCGUGGGGAGCGAACAGGAUUAGAUACCCCCGUAGUC